rnacentral:tRNA from 1 species
GGGGGGACCAUGGCUUGGUGGUGGAGCAUCUGCUUGGCAUGCAGAAAGUCCUAAGUUCAAUCCCCAGCCUCUCCA